GACGAACGCUGGCGGCGUGCUUAACACAUGCAAGUCGAACGGAAAGGCCCUGCUUUUGUGGGGUGCUCGAGUGGCGAACGGGUGAGUAACACGUGAGUAACCUGCCCUUGACUUUGGGAUAACUUCAGGAAACUGGGGCUAAUACCGGAUAGGAGCUCCUGCUGCAUGGUGAGGGUUGGAAAGUUUCGGCGGUCGGGGAUGGACUCGCGGCUUAUCAGCUUGUUGGUGGGGUAGUGGCUUACCAAGGCUUUGACGGGUAGCCGGCCUGAGAGGGUGACCGGCCACAUUGGGACUGAGAUACGGCCCAGACUCCUACGGGAGGCAGCAGUGGGGAAUAUUGCACAAUGGGCGGAAGCCUGAUGCAGCAACGCCGCGUGCGGGAUGACGGCCUUCGGGUUGUAAACCGCUUUCGCCUGUGACGAAGCGUGAGUGACGGUAAUGGGUAAAGAAGCACCGGCUAACUACGUG
rnacentral:rRNA from 1 species